rnacentral:rRNA from 1 species
GCACCUUGACGGUACCUAACCAGAAAGCCACGGCUAACUACGUGCCAGCAGCCGCGGUAAUACGUAGGUGGCAAGCGUUAUCCGGAAUUAUUGGGCGUAAAGCGCGCGCAGGUGGUUUCUUAAGUCUGAUGUGAAAGCCCACGGCUCAACCGUGGAGGGUCAUUGGAAACUGGGAGACUUGAGUGCAGAAGAGGAAAGUGGAAUUCCAUGUGUAGCGGUGAAAUGCGUAGAGAUAUGGAGGAACACCAGUGGCGAAGGCGACUUUCUGGUCUGUAACUGACACUGAGGCGCGAAAGCGUGG